rnacentral:rRNA from 1 species
AUUGAACGCUGGCGGAAUGCUUUACACAUGCAAGUCGAACGAUGAACCUUAGCUUGCUAAGGGGAUUAGUGGCGAACGGGUGAGUAAUAUAUCGGAACGUGCCUUGUAAUGGCGGAUAACUAGUCGAAAGAUUAGCUAAUACCGCAUACGCCCUGAGGGGGAAAGUAGGGGAUCUUCGGACCUUACGUUAUAAGAGCGGCCGAUAUCUGAUUAGCUAGUUGGUGGGGUAAUGGCCUACCAAGGCGACGAUCAGUAGCUGGUCUGAGAGGACGACCAGCCACACUGGAACUGAGACACGGUCCAGACUCCUACGGGAGGCAGCAGUGGGGAAUUUUGGACAAUGGGCGCAAGCCUGAUCCAGCCAUUCCGCGUGAGUGAAGAAGGCCUUCGGGUUGUAAAGCUCUUUCGCAAGGGAAGAAAACUUACCAUCGAAUAAAUGGUGAGGCUGACGGUACCUUGAUAAGAAGCACCGGCUAACUACGUG